UGGGAUAACUCCGGGAAACCGGAGCUAAUACCGGAUAGUUCCUUGAACCGCAUGGUUCAAGGAUGAAAGACGGUUUCGGCUGUCACUUACAGAUGGACCCGCGGCGCAUUAGCUAGUUGGUGGGGUAAUGGCUCACCAAGGCGACGAUGCGUAGCCGACCUGAGAGGGUGAUCGGCCACACUGGGACUGAGACACGGCCCAGACUCCUACGGGAGGCAGCAGUAGGGAAUCUUCCGCAAUGGACGAAAGUCUGACGGAGCAACGCCGCGUGAGUGAUGAAGGUUUUCGGAUCGUAAAGCUCUGUUGUUAGGGAAGAACAAGUGCGAGAGUAACUGCUCGCACCUUGACGGUACCUAACCAGAAAGCCACGGCUAACUACGUGCCAGCAGCCGCGGUAAUACGUAGGUGGCAAGCGUUGUCCGGAAUUAUUGGGCGUAAAGGGCUCGCAGGCGGUUUCUUAAGUCUGAUGUGAAAGCCCCCGGCUCAACCGGGGAGGGUCA
rnacentral:rRNA from 1 species